AAAAAAGAAGGGAAUUGCAGAGAGAAAGAGAGAGAUAAGGGACAAAGAGACCGGCCGGUAAAAAGAAGGAAGUGAUUAAGACAUUAAUCCACUACACCCCUGUUAACGCUAUGGCACCCAAAUUAUAGGUUUACUAACCAAACUGUCAAAAGGGUGGACAAGAUGAGACGAAAUAGAUGUGAGGCUAGAAUUUAUAUUUAUUUAUUUAGCCUUGUAAAGAAUUAUUGAGUUAUUUUAAAUAAGAAGAAUUUUAUUUUC